GAGAGGAAGAGGAGGUCAGAGAGAGAGAGAGGAAGAGGAGGUCAGAGAGAGAGAGAGAGGAAGAGGAGGUCAAAGAGAGAGAGAGAGAGAGAGAGGAAGAGAAAGGCAGAGGAGGUCAAAGAGAGAGAGAGAGGAAGAGAAAGGCAGGAGGUCAAAGAGAGGGAGGAAGAGGAGGUCAAAGAGAGAGAGGAAGAGGAAGGCAGAGGAGGUCAAAGGGAGAGAGAGAGAGGAAGAGGAAGUCAAAGAGAGAGAGGAAGAGGAAGGAAGAGAAAGGCAGAGGAGGUCAAAGAGAGAGAGGAAGAGGAGGUCAAAGAGAGCUAGGAAGAGGAAGGCAGAGGAGGUAAAAGAGAGAGAGAGAGAGAGAGAGGAAGAGGAAGGCAGAGGAGGUCAAAAGAGAGAGAGGGAGGAAGAGGAGGUCAAAGAGAGAGAGGAAGAGGAAGGAAGAGGAGGUCAAAGAGAGAGAGGAAGAGGAAGGCAGAGGAGGUCAAAGAGAGAGAGAGAGAGAGGAAGAGGAGGUCAGAGAGAGAGAGAGAGAGGAAGAGGAGGUCAGAGAGAGAGAGAGAGGAAGAGGAGGUCAGAGAGAGAGAGAGAGGAAGAGGAGGUCAAAGAGAGAGAGAGAGAGAGAGAGAGGAAGAGAAAGGCAGAGGAGGUCAAAGAGAGAGAGAGAGGAAGAGAAAGGCAGGAGGUCAAAGAGAGAGGGAGGAAGAGGAGGUCAAAGAGAGAGAGGAAGAGGAAGGAAGAGGAGGUCAAAGAGAGAGAGAGAGAGGAAGAGAAAGGCAGAGGAGGUCAAAGAGAGAGAGAGAGAGAGAGAGGAAGAGAAAGGCAGAGGAG
ensembl:lncRNA